UACGUAGGGGGCAAGCGUUGUCCGGAUUUACUGGGCGUAAAGAGCGUGUAGGCGGCCAGGGAGGUCCGUUGUGAAAACUCGAGGCUCAACCUCGAGACGCCGAUGGAAACCCCCUGGCUAGAGUCCGGAAGAGGAGAGUGGAAUUCCUGGUGUAGCGGUGAAAUGCGCAGAUAUCAGGAAGAACACCCGUGGCUAAGGCGGCUCUCUAGUACGGUACUGACGCUGAGACGCGAAAGCGUGGGGAGCGAACAGG
rnacentral:rRNA from 1 species